rnacentral:rRNA from 1 species
UGGGGAAUAUUGCACAAUGGGGGAAACCCUGAUGCAGCGACGCAGCGUGCGGGAUGACGGCCUUCGGGUUGUAAACCGCUUUCAGCAGGGAAGAAGCGCAAGUGACGGUACCUGCAGAAGAAGUACCGGCUAACUACGUGCCAGCAGCCGCGGUAAUACGUAGGGUACGAGCGUUGUCCGGAAUUAUUGGGCGUAAAGAGCUCGUAGGUGGUUGGUCACGUCUGCUGUGGAAACGCAACGCUUAACGUUGCGCGUGCAGUGGGUACGGGCUGACUAGAGUGCAGUAGGGGAGUCUGGAAUUCCUGGUGUAGCGGUGAAAUGCGCAGAUAUCAGGAGGAACACCGGUGGCGAAGGCGGGACUCUGGGCUGUAACUGACACUGAGGAGCGAAAGCAUGGGGAGCGAACAGG